rnacentral:sRNA from 1 species
GGAGGCGGCGUUGCCGGGCUCUCCGGAAGGAGACGUGGCGGCGGUUGGGCCGGUGAUACCCGGGCGCUUUAUAGUCCCGCCGCCUCCUCCUCCACCUCCUCCUCCUCCUCCUCCUCUCCUCCUGGAGCAGAGGAGGUUGUGGCGGUGGCUGGAGAAAGCGGCGGCGGAGGAUGGAGGAAGGAGGCGGCGGCGUACGGAGUCUGGUCCCGGGCGGGCCGGUGUUACUGGUCCUCUGCGGCCUCCUGGAGGCGUCCGGCGGCGGCCGAGCCCUCCCUCAACUCAGCGAUGACAUCCCUUUCCGAGUCAACUGGCCCGGCACCGAGUUCUCUCUGAGGCAGGGUCUCACUAUGUUGCCUAGGCUGGUCUCGAACUCCUGGGCUCAAGCAAUCCUCCUGCCUCAGCCUCCCAGAAUACUGGGAUUACAUGUGUGAACCAAAUGUUCUGAAUUUAUCUAGCCCACAACUGGAGUUUUGUAUAAAGAAGAUAAU